rnacentral:rRNA from 1 species
GACGAACGCUGGCGGCGUGCUUAACACAUGCAAGUCGAACGGAAAGGCCCUGCUUUUGUGGGGUGCUCGAGUGGCGAACGGGUGAGUAACACGUGAGUAACCUGCCCUUGACUUUGGGAUAACUUCAGGAAACUGGGGCUACUACCGGAUAGGAGCUCCUGCUGCAUGGUGGGGGUUGGAAAGUUUCGGCGGUUGGGGAUGGACUCGCGGCUUAUCAGCUUGUUGGUGGGGUAGUGGCUUACCAAGGCUUUGACGGGUAGCCGGCCUGAGAGGGUGACCGGGCACAUUGGGACUGAGAUACGGACCAGACUCCUACGGGAGGCAGCAGUGGGGAAUAUUGCACAAUGGGCGGAAGCCUGAUGCAGCAACGCCGCGUUCGGGAUGACGGCCUUCGGGUUGUAAACCGCUUUCGCCUGUGACGAAGCGUGAGUGACGGUAAUGGGUAAAGAAGCACCGGCUAACUACGUG